UACGGGGGGGGCAAGCGUUGUUCGGAAUUACUGGGCGUAAAGGGCUCGUAGGCGGCCAACUAAGUCAGACGUGAAAUCCCCAGGCUCAACCUGGGAACUGCGUCUGAUACUGGAUGGCUUGAAUCCGGGAGAGGGAUGCAGAAUUCCAGGUGUAGCGGUGAAAUGCGUAGAUAUCUGGAGGAAUACCGGUGGCGAAGGCGGCAUCCUGGACCGGCAUUGACGCUGAGGAGCGAAAGCGUGGGGAGCAAACGGG
rnacentral:rRNA from 1 species